rnacentral:tRNA from 1 species
CGCGUGCUGGCGGACACGCUCGGGUUUCGGGCACUCGCCGACGCCGACGGCGUGCACCGGUUCGAGGCCGGCGCGGGCGG